CCUGCAAGACACCAACUUCGUCCUGUUACUGUGCAGUGAAAAACUCAAUUCAAAAUUAUGAUUUGCAGCGAAACAAAAACAUUACAGGGUGAGAACUUGUUGACUUAUAUAAAAGCAACGCGACGCGUGCGUGACUAAAUUCGGCGCUUGGACAAAUUGGACAAAUUGGACAAAUCAUCGGCAAGUUUCCUAAAAUUUUACGUAGAAGUGCUGUCACAUCUGCAACGAACAGAACUAGAAGACAUUCAACAUGUGUGCCUUCAGUUCUUCCGCAAAAACUU